GUGUUUACUUUGGCAGGAUAUAUUAUAAAAUUGGAAUGACAGAAAAGAUUAGCAUGGCACCUAUGCAAAGAUGACACGAAAAUUCAUGAAACAUUCCACAUUUUU
rnacentral:snRNA from 1 species